AAGUCGUAACAAGGUUUCCGUAGGUGAACCUGCGGAAGGAUCAUUAACACGUAUCCAACGUUAAUCCACCCGUGCACCUUCAGUGAGCCUGGCUUAUACACUCUCGUCGAGGGCCAGGUCAACGUCGCUUCCGCUUUGCGACCGUUUUAUCGAAAAUUGGAAUUACGAUCGGCUGGGGAGUUGAUAGCUUGGUGAGACCGAUGGUUUAGCAAUGAGCAUGGGGAAAGGCAGAGGAAUGGAUGUCUC
rnacentral:misc_RNA from 1 species